AAGGGUAUAGCUCAGUAGUAGAGUGUGUGCCUAGCAAGCACAAGGCCCUGGGUUCAAUCUCUAGUUAAUCUUC
rnacentral:tRNA from 1 species